UUUUAGGUCCCAGGAGGAAGAGAAGGAACCCAGGAAGAGGGGAGAGAAUUCUGACCAGGCUUUGGAGCAAGUAGAAAGCGUUUUGAAACUGGAUGCAAACCUGAACAUAUCUGAGAAGGAGAAAUGUCACUGGAAGAACUGCUUCCCCUCCAUCAUUUUGUUCUGUAGUGUGGAUAGACUGUGUCUAAUUUCCUCUGUAGAGUAUGGCAGUUCUUCUCAGUACAAACUACAGCUUGCAAUGCCCUGAAACGCAGGACUAUAGCCAACACUGACAGUAGCACACUGG